UACGAAGGGGGCUAGCGUUGCUCGGAAUCACUGGGCGUAAAGGGUGCGUAGGCGGGUCUUUAAGUCAGGGGGUGAAAUCCUGGAGCUCAACUCCAGAACUGCCUUUGAUACUGAGAGUCUUCGAGUCCGGGAGAGGUGAGUGGAACUGCGAGUGUAGAGGUGAAAUUCGUAGAUAUUCGCAAGAACACCAGUGGCGAAGGCGGCUCACUGGUCCGGUACUGACGCUGAGGUGCGAAAGCGUGGGGGAGCAAACAGG
rnacentral:rRNA from 1 species